GACGUAGGGCGCGAGCGUUGUCCGGAUUUAUUGGGCGUAAAGAGCUCGUAGGCGGCUUGUUGCGUCGGCUGUGAAAACCCGCGGCUUAACUGUGGGCUUGCAGCCGAUACGGGCGGGCUGGAGUUCGGUAGGGGAGACUGGAAUUCCUGGUGUAGCGGUGAAAUGCGCAGAUAUCGGGGAAGAACACCCGUGGCGAAGGCGGCUCUCUGGGACGGUACUGACGCUGAGACGCGAAAGCGUGGGGAGCGAACAGG
rnacentral:rRNA from 1 species